rnacentral:rRNA from 1 species
GACGAACGCUGGCGGCGUGCUUAACACAUGCAAGUCGAACGCUGAAGCCCUUCGGGGUGGAUGAGUGGCGAGCGGGUGAGUAACACGUGGGUAAUCUGCCCUGCACUCUGGGAUAAGCCUUGGAAACGGGGUCUAAUACCGGAUAGGACACAUCGCCGCAUGGUGUGUGUGUGGAAAGUUCCGGCGGUGCAGGUUGAGCCCGCGGCCUAUCAGCUUGUUGGUGGGGUGAUGGCCUACCAAGGCGACGACGGGUAGCCGGCCUGAGAGGGUGACCGGCCACACUGGGACUGAGACACGGCCCAGACUCCUACGGGAGGCAGCAGUGGGGAAUCUUGCGCAAUGGGCGAAAGCCUGACGCAGCAACGCCGCGUGGGGGAUGACGGCCUUCGGGUUGUAAACCUCUUUCGACCGGGACGAAGGAUUCGUUUGACGGUACCGGUAGAAGAAGCACCGGCUAACUACGUGCCAGCCGCCGCGGAA